rnacentral:rRNA from 1 species
UGAAUACGAGAUGCUACGGCGUCGAAGCAGUCUAUGUCAUACUUCCAAGAAAAGCUUGCACUGUCAUAAACAAAUAAUGCCUGUACCAUAACCGACACAGGUGGGUAGGUAGAGUAUACUAAGGGGCGCGAGAUAACUCUCUCUAAGGAACUCGGCAAAAUGACUCCGUAACUUCGGGAGAAGGAGUGCCUUAUUUAUAAGGUUGCAAUAACAAGAUCCAAGCAACUGUUUACCAAAAACACAGGUCUCCGCUAAGUCGUAAGACGAUGUAUGGGGGCUGACGCCUGCCCAGUGCCAGAAGGUUAAAGAAGUUGGUUAGCAUCCGCGAAGCUGAUAACUGAAGCCCUGGUGAACGGCGGCCGUAACAAUAACGGUCCUAAGGUAGCGAAAUUCCUUGUCGGGUAAGUUCCGACCCGCACGAAAGGCGUAAUGAUUUGGAUACUGUCUCGGAGAGGGGCUCGGUGAAAUAGACUUGUCCGUGAAGAUGCGGACUACCUGCACCAGGACAGAAAGACCCUAUGAAGCUUUACUGUAACCUGAAAUUGAAAUUGGACUUUACUUGCGCAGUAUAGGUGGGAGGCGUUGAGAAUAUUCUUGCGGGAUUAUUGGAGCCAUCAGUGAGAUACCACUCUUGUAAUGUUAGAUUUCUAACUUUGUAUCAUUAUCUGGUCAAAGAACAGUUUCAGGCGGGCAGUUUGACUGGGGCGGUCGCCUCCUAAACGGUAACGGAGGCGCACAAAGGUUUCCUCUGAACGGGUAGAAAUCGUAUCUAGAGUGUAAAGGCAUAAGGAAGCUUGACUGUGAGACCUACAAGUCGAGCAGGGACGAAAGUCGGUCUUAGUGAUCUGACGGUGCUGAGUGGAAAGGCCGUCACUCAACGGAUAAAAGUUACUCUAAGGAUAACAGGCUGAUCUCCCCCAAGAGUUCACAUCGACGGGGAGGUUUGGCACCUCGAUGUCGGCUCAUCGCAUCCUGGGGCGGUAGUACGUCCCAAGGGUUGGGCUGUUCGCCCAUGAAAGCGGUACGCGAGCUGGGUUCAGAACGUCGUGAGACAGUUCGGUCCAUAUCCGGUGUAGGCGUUAGAAUAUUGAGAGGAGCCUUCUUUAGUACGAGAGGACCGAGAAGGACAUACCUCUGGUGUACCAGUUAUCGUGCCAACGGUAAACGCUGGGUAGCUAUGUGUGGAGUGGAUAACCGCUGAAAGCAUCUAAGUGGGAAGCCCACCUCAAGAUAAGUAUUCUCAUCAC